rnacentral:rRNA from 1 species
AGGACGAACGCUGGCGGCGUGCUUAACACAUGCAAGUCGAGCGGAAAGGCCCUUCGGGGUACUCGAGCGGCGAACGGGUGAGUAACACGUGAGCAACCUGCCCUUAGCUUCGGGAUAGCUCCGGGAAACCGGAAUUAAUACCGAAUAUGACUUUUGCUGACAUCAGCAGAAGUGGAAAGUUUUUCGGCUAGGGAUGGACUCGCGGCCUAUCAGCUAGUUGGUGAGGUAACGGCCCACCAAGGCGACGACGGGUA